AUGUCCCAGGGCAGGGUUUACCCCUGUAUUCCUGAAAGCUGCGCCUUUCGCGGCCCCACACACUCCUCUAACUUGCUCUUUCUUGGUGGAAGUGGUGAGGAGAGUCCCUGGGCCCGGGUCUCUGUGUGGUUGGGAUGCACGGGGCAGGGGCAAGGAGGGCUCCAGCCACCUCCCCGCCCUGUUUGUGGGUGCCCCUCUCCGGCUCCCACUUCUGAUUCUGACUCAGAUCUCUUUCUUUGUUCCCAAGGACUCUGGGGAGUCCUGGCACCUUGGCAAAUCCCCUCUUCUGUGUCAUUGCCAACCUCUUCUCCUGACUUACUCUCUCCCUACGAGCCCAGUAAUGACUCUAGCCUGGAAUGGGGCCUCUAACUCAAGGAAAGGAGGCUGAAGUGUCUGGAGGCCUUCAAGAAGGGGCUUAUAGCUGUUCCUUCACUCACGGGCUCUCUCCGUCCCUCGUCUGGUCUGUGCCUCAGGGUGGAAGUUCCCUGAGGGGAGGACAUUGGAGGGUGAUACCAGGAAGCCCGGAAGUCUGGUUUGGUAGCUCCUUCUCCGUGGUUCCAACUCUCUGCCUGUUCUAGAGGGGCCAGGGGUCCUAGAAUGUUGUAAGGGGGUGUUCGGCCAUGGUGGGGGAGGGCGCUGAUGGCAGAGCCUGGUCUGGGGGCGCUGGUCUGAAGUGAGGGAGCUGGCGAAGUCUCCAGCCCAGGGACUUAUGGUGACCCCAGUAGGCUAAUCUCAGGGGUGGGUUGCCCCAUGCCCCCAUUAUGCCCAGUGGAAGGGCUUCUGGCCUUACAGUUUUUGAUGCCCUGGGGUUUCACUGAGGCAUGGUGAGCUAGCGCAUGGGAGGCUGGUGAGCAAAGCUAUGCAAAGUUAUAUAAGGUGCCCCUUCCUGAUGGUGACAUAAAAGGUGUCCCUAGGUGUCCAUGCAGCCUUGUUGGCACAUGGCUUGGUGAGCGAUUAUGUCUUUGGAUGAAAAAUGUGAUGCUCCUGCCCUGGAGUGGAUGUCGCUGCACACGGUAGCUUCCCCCAUGAGGCUGCGGCUCAGGAUUGUGGGAGAGUGGGCAGGGCAACUGGUGAGUUUCUUGAGCGGAAGGGGCAGGUUACAAUAGGGCGAAGUGUUGGGCUAAGACUGUGGCAACUCUGGGGUAACCCUGGCC
rnacentral:lncRNA from 1 species